rnacentral:ncRNA from 1 species
AUAGUUGAUCCUGCCAGUAGUCAUAUGCUUGUCUCAAAGAUUAAGCAUGCCUGUUUAAGUACAUGCUGUAUUAAGGUGAAAUCAUGAAUGGCUUAUUAAAUCAGUUAUGGUUCCUUGGAUUGUACCUUACUACUUGGAUAACUGCGGGAAUUCUAGAGUUAAUACAUACAGCAGACUUCUGAUCCUCUGGAGAUGAGUGUUUUUAUUUGACCAAAACCAAUCGGACCUAGUCUCCGUAUUAUGUGGUGGCUCUGUAUAACUUUGGGUUAAUCGCAUGGGCUCAUCCUGCUGAUGUAUGUUUCAGGUGUCUGCCUUAUCAACUAUCGAUGGUAGGUUAUGUGCCUACCAUGGUCGUAAUGGGCGACGUCGAAUCAGGGUUCAAUUCCGGAGAAGUAGCCUAAGAAAUGGCUAUUGCAUCCAAGGAAGGCAGCAGGCAUGGAAAUUACUCAUUCCCAUAAUGGGGAGUUAAUGACAAAAAAUAACAAGAGAGAGUGAUGGGUUCUUUUGAGACCCCAUAAUUGGAAUGAGUGAUCUCUAAAUCCUUUAACGGGCAAGUCUAGUGCCAGCAGCCACUUUGCGUCACUGACUGCCGUGCCGAAGGGCCUGGGUUUGAAUUCCGAAGAAGGCAUGGAUAUUUGUAAAGUGUCGGUGUGGCAUGGUGGCACUCUAAGUAUGUGCU